rnacentral:rRNA from 1 species
UGCGUAGGCGGGUUAAUAAGUCAGUGGUGAAAACCUUCAGCUUAACUGGAGACUUGCCAUUGAUACUGUUAGUCUUGAGUACGGUCAAGGUAGGCGGAAUGUGUAAUGUAGCGGUGAAGUGCUUAGAUAUUACACAGAACACCGAUUGCGAAGGCAGCUUACUGGACCAUUACUGACGCUGAGGCACGAAAGCGUGGGGAGCGAACAGGAUUAGAUACCCUGGUAGUCC